rnacentral:rRNA from 1 species
ACAUGCCUACAACAUAGCAUUAAUGCAUCUGAUCCCAUUAGAACUUCGUAGUUAAGCGCGCCCGGGCUAGAGUAGUACUGGGAUGAAUGACCACCCGGGAAGUCCUAGUAUUUUACAUGCC